CGUGCCCUUGGUAUGGAACAACCACUGGAAACGGUGGCUAAUACCAUAUGAUGCCUGAUGAUUAGUUUCAUUAUGGCCAAAGAUUUAUCGCCCAAGGAUCGGCCCGCGUUGGAUUAGUUAGUUGGUGAGGUAACGGCUCACCAAGGCGACGAUCCAUAGCUGGUCUGAGAGGAUGAUCAGCCACACUGGGACUGAGACACGGCCCAGACUCCUACGGGAGGCAGCAGUGGGGAAUAUUGGACAAUGGGCGCAAGUGAUCCAGCCAUGCCGCGUGAGUGAAGAAGGCCUUAGGGUUGUAAAACUCUCUCGCUAGGGAAGAUAAUGACGGUACCUAGUAAAGAAGCCCCGGCUAACUCCGUGCCAGCAGCCGCGGUAAUACGGAGGGGGCUAGCGUUGUUCGGAAUUACUGGGCGUAAAGCGCGCGUAGGGGUUUAUCAAGUCAGGGGUGAAAUCCCGGAGCUCAACUCCGAACUGCCCUUGAGACUGAUAGACUAGAGUUCGAGAGAGGCAAGUGGAAUACCUAGUGUAGAGGUGAAAUUCGUAGAUAUUAGGUGGAACACCAGUGGCGAAGGGACUUGCUGGAUCGAUACUGACGCUGAGGUGCGAAAGGUGGGGAGCGAACAGGAUUAGAUACCCUGGUAGUCCACGCCGUAAACGAUGUGUGCUAGCCGUUGGUGUCUUUCGGCAUCGGUGGCGCAGUAACGCGUUAACACACCGCCUGGGGAGUACGGCCGCAAGUUAAAACUCAAAGGAAUUGACGGGGGCCGCACAAGCGUGGGAGCAUGUGGUUUAAUUCGAAGCAAC
rnacentral:rRNA from 1 species